rnacentral:rRNA from 1 species
UACGUAGGUGGCAAGCGUUAUCCGGAUUUAUUGGGCGUAAAGAGAACGCAGGCGGUCUUUUAAGUCUGAUGUGAAAGCCUUCGGCUUAACCGGAGAAUUGCAUCAGAAACUGUUGAACUUGAGUGCAGAAGAGGAGAGUGGAACUCCAUGUGUAGCGGUGGAAUGCGUAGAUAUAUGGAAGAACACCAGUGGCGAAGGCGGCUCUCUGGUCUGCAACUGACGCUGAGGCUCGAAAGCAUGGGUAGCGAACAGG